rnacentral:lncRNA from 1 species
AAUUCACUAGAAAAAUAAGUGGUAGAAUUAACUAGGUUGAGCUCAUUAGUACUCGAGUAAUUAAGUCUGAGGGGACUUUGUGCCUAACAACCUAAAGCCCUUCGUGGUUUGGGAUUGUUGACCCAACACUCGCUACAUGGGUACUAGUGCAUAAAUCUUUAGGGAUCUCAACCAUUGCACGGUUAAAUAAACCACUAGAAUA